AUGGAUGCCUAGGAAUUUAACAGCAAAAAGGCAGGAAAGGCAUUGUCGUUCCAAGGAUCCAUCUGAGGAAAGAUUCAGAGCACCUAUAAGCGGGAGAGUAUCUAGAAUAAUCAAAGGCCUUGGGUCCAUGCCAGAUGAGGAUGAGUUGAAGAACCAGUUGUAUUUUUCCUGGAAAAGUGAAGGCUCAACGUGGGAGAGUGAGCCAUGAUAUGUCUUCAAAGUGAUGAAAAACUUACAUAUGGUCUUGUUCUGUUUGACACCAGAGGGCAGAUCUGAGAACAGUAUGGACAUCACAAAGAGGACAGGUAGAACUAGACAGAUACUGAGGCCCCAUCCAACGUUGAAAUUCUGUGAUUCUGAGAAACACGUGAAGAAUCUUGUACAUGGCUGCAGGGUGAAGUAGCAGAACCAAGAGAAAAAUGGGCACAAUAAUGGCGCAAUGUAAACACCAAUCUGGAAAGGCAGCUGAGAUCCUGCAUGGCCAGUGCUGAUCUGCAGAGAGCCAGUGACAAAACUCUAGCUCCCACUCCUUUCUUUAGACAGGGAAGAAAUCAGACACUUAAAAUGUUGCACACUCCCUCAGACACAAUUCUGCUAUCCUUGGUUUGGUUAUUUUUUUUUCUCUGCCACAAGAGAGGAUUUCACAAAGAAGAAGUAAUAUUGGUAAAUGAUGGAGGUAUUCAAAGCAAAAGGCAUUGAUAAAACUGAAAAAAGCCACCAUCAAAUCCCAGUUCAAAUGCUUGUUUCCUCACCAUUAUAAAGCUUGUAUUCAAAUGGUCAAUGCAUAAGUGAACAGAAAUGUCUAGACUUCCAAAUAA